AUCGAACGCUGGCGGCAUGCCUUACACAUGCAAGCCGAACGGUAACAGGUCUUCGGAUGCUGACGAGUGGCGAACGGGUGAGUAAUACAUCGGAACGUGCCUAGUAGUGGGGGAUAACUACUCGAAAGAGUGGCUAAUACGGCAUGAGAUCUACGGAUGAAAGCAGGGGAUCGCAAGACCUUGUGCUACUAUAGCGGCCGAUGGCAGAUUAGGUAGUUGGUGGGAUAAAAGCUUACCAAGCCGACGAUCUGUAGCUGGUCUGAGAGGACGAUCAGCCACACUGGGACUGAGACACGGCCCAGACUCCUACGGGAGGCAGCAGUGGGGAAUUUUGGACAAUGGGCGCAAGCCUGAUCCAGCAAUGCCGCGUGCAGGAUGAAGGCCUUCGGGUUGUAAACUGCUUUUGUACGGAACGAAAAGCCCUGGGUUAAUACCCUGGGGUCAUGACGGUACCGUAAGAAUAAGCACCGGCUAACUACGUGCCAGCAGCCGCCGUAAUAC
rnacentral:rRNA from 1 species